UACGGAGGGUGCAAGCGUUAUCCGGAUUCACUGGGCUUAAAGGGUGCGUAGGCGGGUAUAUAAGUCAGUGGUGAAAGCUCCGGGCUUAACUUGGAAACUGCCAUUGAUACUGUAUAUCUUGAAUGUCGUUGAGGUAAGCGGAAUGUUGCAUGUAGCGGUGAAAUGCUUAGAUAUGUUACAGAACACCAAUUGUGAAGACAGCUUACUAAGCGAUGAUUGACGCUGAGGCACGAAAGCGUGGGGAGCAAACAGG
rnacentral:rRNA from 1 species